rnacentral:pre_miRNA from 1 species
GUAGGAGAUCAAAGAUCAAGCUAGAAACAAUUAUAGUUUGAUCUUUGAUCCUCCUUCAGG